rnacentral:lncRNA from 1 species
UUUUUCCCCAGGUUUCCAGGUCUUAAGUAAGGAAAUCACUACCAAGUCCCUUUCAAGGUAGGAAGACAAAGAUGAUAGGAGGGGCAUUUACAAAGACCCAGAGGUCAAUUGUCGGUUGUUUGGCUUCUUCACUGACCAACUGAAGAAGAGGAUCAGUCCAGGAAGGAGUGUAAAAUGAGAUGAAGGGCGAAGCCACUGGAAGAAUCACAGCCCACUUUGAAAAUCACUGGGCUAGAAGAUUACAAGACCAUUGCAGCAUCUCCACGUGGUCUUUUGACUGAGAGGCAGUGUUCACUAGUGAGAAGAA